UCGACUCAUCUUAAGGAGCUUAACCAGGUAGCGGCGCCGCAAGCUCCCUUGAACCGAGUCAAACCUGUUGAUUAGGUUUUUGGUGUUAGUUCUUUGCCUCCUCGUUGGGUGUCUAGUCAAGCCGAGCAAAUUCUCUUGCCUGAGAUUGACGACUUUUUCAAAGCGAUCAUCGUAGAGGUAGUCUCUCUGUGAGAGGAGAGAAGAGGAAGACAAGCAUAUGAAGCCAGCAGCCCCAGCAGCCAGGAGCCAGCAGCCAGCAGCCAGCAGCCAGCGCACAAUGAUGGCUCUUGUCAUGGGUUUCUGGCUCGCUUGACCACACCUGGGAAGGAAAGGGCCUGCAGCCCUGGUUUAUAAUGCUGAUGAUUAACUAAAUAGAGGCUGCUGCAGAGAGCAGGUCUGCUUGGCUUUCUCAUUUCAUGGGGCCUGACUGACUGACCGGGAAGAAGCUGAAGUGUUUACAGGCUCUAGUUUCUGGAAAUUCAAGAUAUUUUCUCCCCCCUCCCCCCACCUUUAAUCACUUUGUUUUGUUACAUUCUUUCCUUUUGGGUUCCUUUUCACAACGGUAAGGUUACAGGUGCAUUCUCCAUUUUCAUUUCCCUCCCUUCUGCUCUGUCUUUCUCUCUCCUCUCUCCUCUCUCCUGCUCUCUCACUCUCUCUCAUUCACUAAAGCUCUUCCAUUUAGCUCACUGGCAGGAUGACUGGAAGUCACUUUAUUCUUUCCCUCUGGACACAAGAUUGUCUUGAUUCUAUUUUUGUUUCAGGUUUACAGAAAAUUAUUCCUGUUUCAAAUAUAUUCAAAUAGUUCAUUGGUAUAAGUAUUGCUGACUUAAUGUACCAUGUCUCAAAAAUAUACAGUUAAUAACAUUUUUCUUUUUACAAAGCACGAUGCAAGUAGUUUGUAGGCACUUUUCAUUGUCGACUAAAUGUAUACAUAUUUCAAUUUUAA